rnacentral:lncRNA from 1 species
UGAUAUCUCAAUUUUACUCAAACGGGUGACUAAAAAUGGGAGAGGAUGAGAAACAGCAUGGGGAAGUUCAUGUAGUAGUAGUGGCAUGUCCAACCCAAGGCCACCUUAAUCCACUCCUACAAUUCGCCAAAUACCUAGCACAUCAAGGCAUCCAUGUCACCAUCCCCCUCACCUUAGCAAAUCCCAUUUCUUCUUCUUUUUCCCGUAAUAACAAUAACUUUCCAUUCAUUAACCUUCAACGAGUUUCUCUUUUACCAUACAAUGGAACUGAACCUGAAAGUUCCAUGGGCCUUUGGGGAAGACGCC